rnacentral:ncRNA from 1 species
AUCUUCGGGGCGGGGUGUAAUUCCCCACUGGCGGUAUAGUCCGCGACCCGCUGCAGAGCGAUCUGCCGCGGCUGAAUUGGUGCAAUUCCAAUACCAACAGUUACAGUCUGGAUGAGAGAAGAG